UUCAUUAUUAUUUCAUUAAUGGGCUGGCAUGUGGGCCGUGGUUCCAGGGGGGCUCAGAGAGGCACCGCCUGAUGUCUGACAGCUUCUCUUUCUAUCUCUUUUCUUACCUGGACUCUGGGUUGCUUGUUAGCUUCUUCUGCCAGUUCUGGGUUUUCAAGGGGAGAGGGGCCCAGUGAUGGCUGUCCUUUGAAGGAAAGGGAAGAAUGUCUCCUGCUUAACAUGUUUCUAUGUUUCCAGUUAGUUAGGUUAGUUAGUUAGUUAGAGCCAGGGUAUCUCACUCUGUUGCACAGGCUGGAGUGCAAUGGCAUGAUCUUGGCUCACAGUAGCCUCCACCUACCAGGCUCACGCAGUGCUCCCACCCCAGCCUCCCAAGUAGCUGGGACUGCAGGCAUGUGCCACCAUGCUUGGCUACUUUAAAAUUUUUUUUUUUUUUUUUUUUUUUUAAUACAGACAAGGUCUCACUAUAUUGCCCAGGUUGGUCUUAAACUCAUGGGCUCAAGUGAUCCUCCUGCCUUGGCCUUUCAAAGUGCUGAUAUUACAGACAGGGUUUCAAUUUUUUAAAGCUCCCAGCAGGGGUAUUAAACUCUCCCUUUCCAGAGAAAGCACACUCUGUCCCCAUCCCUCAUGGUAUCCUCUCCUGCCUCUGCGUAGGGUUCACUCUGGGGGAAAGUGCCACUUCAGAGAUUCCUUUUUGUGUGUGGCUUCUGACUGACCGGUCCCUGCUCAGUCACAGCUGCUGCUUCUCAGGGUGGGGUCCCUGAGGCCUGGAGUGUGGCCUCUGAAAACCUUCAGGGCCAGAAGCAGAAUGAGAGCCUGUGGCCACAUAGCCCCUGGUGGGAGACGUCCUGCCACCCUUUGCUUCUCUGUGUCACUCUGGCUGUACAUUUCAGAUCCCUGGGAAACAUUAACUGGUAGGACCUAGAAGGGGAGGUGAGGAGGGUCACCCCCCAGGUGUGCCUGUGGUGAGCCUUUGUGCUGAGCAGGUGCAGGGAGGGAGGCCCAGGUGCACACAUCUGUGAAGUAGGGGCAGCUGGUUGGGCUCCUUGACCUGCUCCAGAGCUUCUCCUUAUUUUCUAGCCACUUCACCUGCAGAAGGCCCAGGUGGCUGUGGCCUCUAGGGUCCUUUGCAGUGAACAUGAUGCCUGUCCUCAGCCCCUCUCUAGGCCUGGCGCUGUGCUCAGCACUGUCGUAUGUGUGUAUGUGUGUGUGCACGCACAGGAAUGUGCAGACAUCAUGAGGUGUGGUCUCUGCUCUUAGGCAGCUUGCCUUGUGGCUGAAAUGAACUAUCACCUGCAUCAAGGGGUGGAAACACAAGGCCAGAUGCAGUGACCUUGUCUGGAGUCAGACAGUGGCUCCGUGACCUGGCUUCACUCCAGAACUACCUGGGGUUUUUAGUUGUGCAAAUCCCAGGUCCCACCCAGAUUACGAGUCCAGUUUUCUACAGGUGGAGCCCAGGAAGGAGCAUUUUUAACACGAUGGUACUGCCCAUUCACCCAGCCCAGCCAGUGGUCUCUGUGUACCCAGGAACCGCUGACACAGAGCUUGUGCUCCCCAUAAAACGGGAGACAGAGCCUUCACGGACGGGGGACGUGUGGCUUGGUCAUGACAGGGUGUUUCGUACCAGCACAGACUGUGUUCAGGUGACAUUAAGGACAAGUUCCUGCAGGCUAACUGCCUGGACAGGGCUGGGUGGGGGUAGAAGUUAGAGGGGUCACAGAGGGGCUUCCUCCCAGCCGCCUCACCAGCUGCUUGAUUUAGGGCUUGGCUCUGGGUCCUCCUGGGUCUGAUUCUGAACCACGGGACUGGUGUGGCCUGCAGGCUCCUCCUGCCACAAGCUGUUCAUGGUGCAGGGGGAGAACAGUGUCCACAGUUCCCCGGACAGCAGCAGUGGAUACCAGGCCCCCAGGAGUUGUUACUGAAGUUGCUGCUGGACAACUUGCCUUUCACUGAGCUCCACAUAGCACCCGUGGUGAUGCGAGCUGGGCGGAGAGAGUCUGCCAGCCUGCGCAUCAGCUCCCAACUGGGAGGGGCAGAGGGAGGAGGGGGUGGGAGCCCCAGGCAGCAGGGCUCUGGGAACAGUGGGGCCCUGGGUUCCAGGGGUGUCUGGCAGGCCCCUCCUUACUCUACCUCACUUAGCCUCUGGGUGGAGAUGCUGGCCACAGUCAGGCUCUGUCUCUAAGGACUGGAGAAGUGGCGGGUGUGGGCUGCUGCCCCGUGCAGCCUCUGAACAGACCCCAGGGCCUCUGCCAAUCAUGACUCCUUGCUUUCAGCUGGACCCACAGGCCCUGCAGGACAGAGACUGGCAGCGCACCGUCAUCGCCAUGAAUGGGAUUGAAGUAAAGCUCUCGGUCAAGUUCAACAGCAGAGAGUUCAACUUGAAGAGGAUGCCAUCAUGAAAACAGGGGUCUUCGGAGUCAAGAUUGCUGUGGUCACCAAGAGAGAGAGGUCCAAGGUGCCCUACAUCGUACGCCAGUGCGUGGAGGAGAUCGAGCGCCGAGGCAUGGAGGAGGUGGGCAUCUACCGCGUGUCCGGAGUGGCCACGGACAUCCAGGCGCUGAAGGCAGCCUUCGACGUCAAUAACAAGGACGUGUCGGUGAUGAUGAGCGAGAUGGACGUGAACGCCAUCGCAGGCACGCUGAAGCUGUACUUCCGUGAGCUGCCCGAGCCCCUCUUCACCGACGCGUUCUACCCCAACUUCGCCGAGGGCAUUGGUGAGCACUGGAGGCCUUGGCCUCAUGGGAAACGUCUCCUCCACGUGCACUGCUGCCCUUGGAGGCUGUGAAAAGUGAGGUGUGGGAACCCGAGCUGUGCCCCCUCUGCCAUGGUCAGUGUUUUAACCCAACCUCAGAAAACAGGGGACCAAAAUCAAGCCUGUCCUGGAAGACCUCGCCCAUCCCCAGAGGGCUCCCCGUCCCUAUUCCUCAAGGAGACCAAGAGGGUGAAAU